CGGUGUUGGCGGUGUUGGCGGUGUUGGCGGCGUUGGUGGCAUUGGCGGCGUUGGUGGCAUUGGCGGCGUUGGUGGCGUUGGCGGCGUUGGCAGCAUUGGCACUGGUGGACUGUAUCCAGGACAGGUGCCAGGAGCGGGAUAUGGAGCUGCUGCCAAGGCAGCUAAAUAUGGAUUGGUACCAGGGGGUGUACCGGGAGGAGUACCUGGAGGAGUACCGGGAGGAGUACCUGGAGGAGUACCAGGGGGUGUACCUGGAGGACUACCGGGAGGUGCACCAGUUGUUGGUGGAUAUUCACCAGCAGCCAAAGCCGCUAAAUACGGACUGGGAGGCGCAGGAGGUCUAGGAGGAACAGGGGCACAGUUAGGGACAGGAGGAUUUGGAGGACAAGGAGGACUCGGUGGAGGGGGAGGACUGGGAGGAGGGGGAGGAUAUUCUGCUGCUUCCAAAGCU